UUUUGCACUAAUGCACUGUAGAUGUUUUUAACCAGUCCUCACUUUUUGAUAUUUAGUUUCUAAUUUUUCACUAUUAUAAACAAUACUGCGAGGAACAUCCAUUUAGCUUGAUCUUUGAACAUAUCAAAAAUAAUUUCCUUACUAGAACCUCUGUAAAAUAGGGUUUAUAUAUUGGACUGUAUGCUUAAAUAAAGGUAAGGAUUUGUUACCUAUUGCCAAAUUUCCCUCAUGAAAGAUUGCACUGUUAUACGCUCCCCACUAGUGUCUAAGAUUGUCCAUUUUCUCAUAUAUUUAAGAACACUGGGAGUUUUAAUAACACACAAAAAAAGAAUUGAGUCAUUUGACUGGUGAAUGAUUGUAAUUUAUUCUAAAAUUUGUCCUUCAUAUGAUUUCUAAUGAAAUGAGAUUUUUGAAAAUCUUCAUUGGUCCUCUGUUUUUGUGUUUUUAAAAUCCCUGUUUCAGUUUUAUUAUUGUUUUCUUUUUGUUCCUUUACUUAGUCUCAAAUUGGGAUGCUCAUAAUCAGUGAAUAGACUAAAAGGUUAGAAGCAGCUAUAAAGUUGAAUAAACUAGGUUCCUGAAUUUAUGUAUUUAUUCAACAUAUAGUUAUUGAGUACUUUCUAUUUGCUAUGGAAUUUUCUAGGUGUUGGGAAAGAUAAAGUUUCUGCUCCUCCUGAAAAUUAAAUAAAUAAGUAAUAUAAGAUCUCUUAGUGAUAAGAGCUAGGAAGAAAAAUAAAGCAAGUUAGAAGAUAAAGAGUGAUGAAUAACCUAGCUAUUUUAGGUAAGCCAGUCAAAGAAGGUUCGUAUGAAGAAGUGACAUCUGAGCACAGACCUGAAUGAAUUUGGGAAGCAGGGCAUGUGACAAACUGGGGAAAGAAUGUUUUAGGCAGAGGAAACAAGUUCAAAAGUCCACUGUGUUUUAAGGAUUAUUAAAAUCAGUUCACUUACGUCAUUCACAAAGGUAUAGCACUGUUUCAUCUUGAAUCCGUCUAUAGCUUUUCUUUCUAGUCAGCUUAGUUUUAGGACUAAUGAACUAAUAUAUAGAGAUGAAAAUCACCUAACUAUUCCAGACCAAACUUGUAUGAUAAUUGAAAUUUUGAGAAAACACAGAGAAAUGACUUUUAAGUUAAAUUUAGUAUAAUGGGAUAGUUUUACUUACUUACCAUGCAAUUACCAGGAAAUGGUUUCUGUAAAAGUGCUGAGUAAUCAAGAGGGGUUUAUUGCUUUAUAAACUCACAAGUAAUGGAAAUUAUUUCUUUUAAUAAAGAAAGAAAAGUUGAGGAUGUAUAAUGGGCUAUAAAAAGAGGCUAAUAAGAGCUAGGGCACAAUUACAACUUAUUCUUCAGAAUUGAUGGUAAUAGUUAUAUUUUUAAGAAAAUGGCUGACAAGUGGGGCUUACGGCAGACCAAUAACAGAAGCACAUUGAUUUCAGAGAAGACUUUACAGAAAGUAUCAUCACUUGAAUGAGUCCCACAGUGCGCUAUUUAUUUCACAUUCAAUGUAAGAUGUCAGUGAGCCUCCAUAUAUAGUGCAGUCUUGGGUUUGAGUUUCAGGGUAUUAUCUAGCUGCCCUUUUUAAAAUCUGAUUCUGUUCACAAAGAGGUCCCUGUUCAAUAUUUGUACCAAUCCACUAUUCUGUAUCUUUUAUCCCUUUUGUUCUUAGCCUGUUCCAUAUUUUACCUAUGUUGCUUUGGAUUAUUUUAGAUUUCCACACAUUUUAUCUUCAUUAAGUCUACAAACUCCUUAAGGGUCAGGAACACAUAUAAUCAGGCCAACUAUAGUACUGUUUUGUUAUGCCUUCCAAAGUAUCUAAUAUUAGCUGUUCCCUUAACAGGUAAUACUCAUGCUGAACAAAUGAAAGGAUGAGUCGCAAGUGCUAAACACAGAGUUGUUUUUGGAGCUCACUAAUAAUUAAAUAGAGAUACAUACUGAACACAAGGAGGAGAGCAAAAAGACUGCUUCACCUGAGUUCAAGUAAUGUAUCGCCUCACAGAAGAACUGCAACUACUUCAAGAAAGCAGAAUGGAGGAAAAAGGGCAACAUGUUUUGGCCAUUACCACAGACUGAAUACCUAAGCUAAAUGCAGCUAGGCCAGGCCCAAGGGAUGCUGCAGAACUACACCAGUCCAAGAUAUGACACCAACACAGAACACAGAUGGUGAUGAUUAAAAUAAAAUCAAUAAGGUAUAACCACAGCAUUCAGAGUACAUCAAAGCGGAGUGCUGAUACACAGAGUGAUAUUCAUCUCCAGCAUUUCUGAAAGAAUACAAUGACAUAGCUGCUUUGUCACCUUAGCAGAGCCAUGGAAAUGUAGAUGGAAGCAUCUUGGGCUAAUAAAGGUGAGGAAACUAAGUCUCAGAGAUGGAGUGACCCAAAGUCAGUGUUCUCUGUGGAGGAAUUGCUGACUGGAACUUCCAGUAUUAUUAUGAAUAAGAGCAAAGAAAGCGGAUAUCCUUGCCUUGUUCUGGAUCAUAGAGAGAAAGCACUCAGUCUCACCUUUAGGUAUGGUAAGAGCUCUAGUUUUUUUUAUAGAUGCUCUUUAUCAAGUUGAUGAAGUUCCUUUCUAUUCCUAGUUUGCUGAGAGUUUGUAUUGUGAAUGAAUGUUGGAAUUUGUCAAAUGAUUUUUAUGUGUCAAUGGAUAUGAUCAUACAAUUUUUCUCUUUAGCUUGUUGAUAUGGUAGAUUAUAUUGAUUGAUCUCUGGUCAUUGAACCAGCCUUGUAUUCCUGGAAUAAAUUCCACUUCCUUGGUCAUGUUGUAUGAUUAAAUUUAUUCAUUGUAGAAUUAGGCUUGCUAAUUAUUAGAUGAGGAUUUUUGCAUCAAAUUUAAUAAGAGGUAUUGGUUUGUAGGGUUUUUGAAAUUGUUUUUGUCUGAUUUUUGUAUUGGAUUAAUACUGGCCCCAUAAAUGAGUUGGGAAGUGUUCCCUCCUCUCUUGUUUUCUGGAAGAACGAGAUUGUGUAGAAUUGAUUUUAAUUCUUCUUUACCUGUUUUGUAAAAUUCUGCAGUGAAGCCAUGGGGGAUGGGAGAUUUCUCUUUUAAGGGAUUUUAAAAUUAUGAAUUAAAUUUCUUUAAUGGUUAUAGGUCUACUCAAAUUAUCUAUUUUAUUUUGGUUGAGUUUGGGUAGUUUUUGAGCAGUUGGCCAAUUAAAUUGUCAAAUUUAUGAACGUAACAUUAUUGGUAUUUUUUCCCUAUUAUACUUUUAAUGAUUACAGAUUCUAUAGUGAUAUUCCAUGUCAUUCAUGAUGAUGACUUAUGUUUUUUCUCUUUUUUAUCUUUGU